CCAAGCACAAAGCCCCGGCGGCCGCGGGCCUGCGCCCCGCACCUGCGCCCGGCCCCGCCACCGGCCGGGCGGGGGCCGCCACACCACACGGCCCCGCCGCCCGCCGGGACACCCGGGCCACGCAGCCCGCCUCGCCGGCCGCCCCGCGGCCCGGCCGGGCCCGCCGCGCUCCCCCGCAGCCGCCGCGGGCAGGUCUCUUACCAGAAAAACUGACUGAUGGACCUGCCUACAGGAAAAUGCAUAAGUAUUCAAGACCAUUAUAUAAACUGAAAUGUAAAAAUCAAUAAAGAAUUACAUGUGUAGCAAUGUAGAA